rnacentral:rRNA from 1 species
AGAGAGAGACAUGGCGCGCAUAUCAAUAAGCGGAGGAAAAGAAACUAACAAGGAUUCCCUCAGUAACGGCGAGUGAAGCGGGAAGAGCUCAAAUUUGAAAUCUUCAAGGUUCUACCUUGACGAAUUGUAGUUUAAAGAAGUGUUUUCUGCUGAAGUUUUGGUAAAAGUUCUUUGGAAUAGGACAUCAUAGAGGGUGAGAAUCCCGUAUUUGACCAUUAUUUUCAGCUUUGUGAUACACUUUCAAAGAGUCGGAUUGUUUGGGAAUGCAGUCCAAAAUGGGUGGUAAAUUUCAUCUAAAGCUAAAUAUUGGCGAGAGACCGAUAGCGAACAAGUACCGUGAGGGAAAGAUGAAAAGAACUUUGAAAAGAGAGUUAAACAGUACGUGAAAUUGUCAAAAGGGAAGCGUUUGACACCAGUGUUGUUUUCUCGAAAAUCAAUUAAAAAUGGCUCGAUUUUGUAUUGCUUGAGACCUUAAAAGCUCACUGUACAUUUUUCGUGUCUUUUUUAAUGCACUUUUCGUUUAACAAGUCAACAUCAGUUUCUUUUGUUGUAAAAGGGUCAUUGGAAGGUGGCUUUCUUUUCGGAGAAAGUGUUUAUAGCCUUUGGCCUCUGCAAUCGGAGAGACUGAGGUCUGCAGCGUAGACUCUUCGGGGUUAGAUACAUUUGUGCUAAGUUAUAGCUUUUUAUAGACAACUUGUUGACUAUAAUUAGUCUUGUAGCUUACUCGCUUAUGCUAUUUUACCUACGCUUAGGAUGUUGAAGUCAUCGUAUCGCGC